rnacentral:pre_miRNA from 1 species
AUGCCCGGUGCAGUGUAUGGCUUUUUAUUCCUAUCUGACUGAACUAAUGGUUCAUAUAGGGAUGGAAGCCAUGCACUGCGCUUGGAGCC